AUGUUUGUGAGUGUUAAUACCCUUCUUCAAGGCUAUUCAGACAUUAGAUUUGAAAUAUUAGAAGCUAUUACAAAAUUCCUCAACAAUAAUGUCACACCAGUCUCGCCUUUACGCCAUACAGUUACUGCUUCCGGUGAUCAAGUUCCUCUUUCCUGCAUCGCUGCAUUGCUAAAUGGUUUGAGUUCUUGUUUCUCCAAGUUGAAGCCGGAAGAGGGCCUCGCUCUUGUAAAUGGUUCAGCUGUUGGAUCUGGUGUCCCUUCUACGAUGCUUUUGAGGAAAACAUAUUAG